CUCUACUAUUAAAGGUGAAUCUGCCGUCUGUCGUGAUGGUUCAAACUUCUCCUCCUACGAUAGACUGAUCCGCUCCCGCUCACGCAUCCGGUUUUCUCCAGCAUUGACCUCUCUCGCUUGAUUUUUUUAGGUCCUACGUUUUUUUCAAGGUGGACGUCCCACGUUUCUGCUCCACGAUCGAACAGUCGGAAGCCAACACAAGCACGUCCAUCUCUCCCACCCACGUACUUCCUCCCAACCGCAUCUACCGAUCCAGGUACAAGCCGUCAAUCUCUUAUCCCACCCCCAUUUUUCUUCCCAUGCCGCCGCAAAGAUCUUCUCUCCCAAUCUUGUUCCCCUUGCUUUGCAUCAGAUCUCCUCCGUACUAGCUCUCCCAACGUCG
rnacentral:lncRNA from 1 species